UACGUAGGGUGCGAGCGUUGUCCGGAAUUAUUGGGCGUAAAGAGCUCGUAGGCGGUUCAGUAAGUCGGGUGUGAAAGCUCCGAGCUCAACUCGGAGAGGCCACCCGAUACUGCUGUGACUUGAGUCCAGUAGAGGAGCGUGGAAUUCCUGGUGUAGCGGUGAAAUGCGCAGAUAUCAGGAGGAACACCAGCAGCGAAGGCGGCGCUCUGGGCUGGAACUGACGCUGAGGAGCGAAAGCGUGGGUAGCAAACAGG
rnacentral:rRNA from 1 species